rnacentral:rRNA from 1 species
AUGAACGCUGGCGGCGUGCCUAAUACAUGCAAGUCGAGCGAACGGACGAGAAGCUUGCUUCUCUGAUGUUAGCGGCGGACGGGUGAGCAACACGUGGAUAACCUACCUAUAAGACUGGGAUAACUUCGGGAAACCGGGGCUAAUACCGGAUAAUAUUUUGAACCGCAUGGUUCAAAAGUGAAAGACGGUCUUGCUGUCACUUAUAGAUGGAUCCGCGCUGCAUUAGCUAGUUGGUAAGGUAACGGCUUACCAAGGCAACGAUGCAUAGCCGACCUGAGAGGGUGAUCGGCCACACUGGAACUGAGACACGGUCCAGACUCCUACGGGAGGCAGCAGUAGGGAAUCUUCCGCAAUGGGCGAAAGCCUGACGGAGCAACGCCGCGUGAGUGAUGAAGGUCUUCGGAUCGUAAAACUCUGUUAUUAGGGAAGAACAUAUGUGUAAGUAACUGUGCACAUCUUGACGGUACCUAAUCAGAAAGCCACGGCUAACUACGUG